rnacentral:tmRNA from 1 species
CCCUAUAUUGGGGAUGUCGGGAAACCGACUAUGGCGAUAAACGCGUUAUGGAAUAAGCGUUGCGGACCCGGGGGCGGUACCCGGCGCCUCCACCAGCUUGCCACUCCCGGAACCUUCAGGCGCUUCGCCCGGUUCCGAGAUGGCCCCACGGGGGCGAAAUAGGAUCGACGCGCGUGGUAAAGGUAACGUUUUUGCCCGGCAUGGUUCCGCCGUUAUCGGGCCAACACAGAAGUGCCAACGACAACAAUCGUCUGGCUCUCGCUGCCUAAUAGGUAAGCGCGGUCCGGGGGGCACCGGGCAACAGAAGCCCCCCACUUGAGUUUCGAGAAGCGCUGCCGGCAUGGUGCCAAAAGAAGCAGC